UUUUAUUUUUUUUGUACAUGAACAGGGACUAGCUCGAGAAGCUACAGGUGAAGCCAUUGUCGGCUUCCUUGGCAUCGAAGAGGGUGGGUGGUGGAGGAAGGUUGGGGGGGGGGGGACGGGUGGGGAAGGGUUUAUGGGUUUUGGGAUUUUAGGGAUGCAGGUUGGUAGGGAGAGAGAAGAGAGAGAGAGAGAGAGGGGGUGGUGGAGGUAGGUUAGGGGGGGACGGUUGGAAGGAUUUGUAAAGGUGGAUCCCACAAUUUUAUACAAAAAAAUAAUUUAUUUUUAAUUUUUUAAUAUUUUAUUAUUAAAAAUAUAUUUUAUUAUUUUUAAAUCUAGUUAGAUUAAUGAGUGGGUCCCGUCUUUAGUCACGUCAGCACUUAACAGAGAAAUUAACAGAAAAACUGACGGAAGUCUGACAUUGGCACAAAUUCGUAAAAUGAGGUAUGACAUUAUCAUUUUUAAAAGAUGAAGUAUAAUAGUGUCGUUCGACCCGUAGUUUUGUGUAAUUUACCCAUAAAUUUUAUAUCACAGACAUUACUUUAGUCUAAAGAAGGGAAGGGAUUCCAAUUGCACUGUUCAAAUGAACAGUGUUUAGACCCGGAUUUCACUCUAUUUACCGCCAAGCCACUGCUUUACAGAGUGGCCUUUGUGGGUUGGACUCGAUUUUCUCUCUAUGUGCGCCAUGCCAUUGCUUUAAUCAGUGGGCUCUGUGGAAGGUUUGGGUUCGGGCUGGAGUUUCUUUUUUGGGUUUGGGAGGAUGGGCUUUUUGCGGGUUUGGGCCGUGGCUGGGUUUGUUUUGGUUGGUUUCGGUAUAAGGUGAGGUGGAUGCCGUGACUCACCGACAAAGGCUAACCUGCAGCCUGCAGAAUGGCAUAAAGAAGAGGAGAGAUGGAAGUGUCGUGCGUGAGAGAAGAAGAGAGAAGGAAGAGUCAUGCGUUGCAAAAGGGAUGGGAGUAAAGAUGGGAGGAGAGAGGGGUGCCCGAAAGUUUGGUUUUGUUUUUGUUGACAACGGGUGCACAGAGAGACGGCGAGGCAGGGAUGGAGGUAGACUUGUAAACAGGUCGGGUUUAUUGGGUUUGGAUCGGGUUCAAUCCGACCUGUUAAGUUAACGGGUCAUUCGAACCCGACCCGUUAAGCUAACGGGUCACCCGUUUCAUCCGUUAACACUCGGUAACAAUUAUUAUUAUUAUUAUUAUUUUGCAUAAAGUUUAUUUUUUGUUAUUAAGACUUUACAAAAAUUACUAAAAUAUCCUCAACUAAUGGGUGCUAUCGGGUGUUGACGGGUCUUAAUGGGUCUAACAGGUUGACCCAAAGUGACCCGUUAUUUAACGGGUUGUUAACGGGUUCACCCGUUAGCGAUCCGACCUGUUAAGCAUCCAUCCAAAUACAAAUAUUAACGGGUUGGGUCAGGUCGGGUUAACGGGUUGGGUCCAAAAUGCCAAGCCUAAAUGGAGGGCUAGGGGGUAGGGUUGAUUUCAGAAUUUUUGUUCCAGCUGGAAGCCAUUUCCGCAAGAAUUGAUGGGAAGGCAUGGUUGUGUGCAGUUUGUGGGGUUAGCUGGUCAGAAAGGGGUUACUGAGGGAGGUAUAUGGGAGAGUUUGAUUUUUCUGUUUCCUCCCUUGAUUUAAAAGGUAAUGCACUAUUUUCAGUUGGUGUGUCUUCUGACUCAAAUUUAAAAAUGGUUUCUUGACUUCUGUUAUGCUUUGUGCUGCCAUAUUUUCUGUUGUUACUGAGGCUUGAUUGAAAUAUGCAUCAACUUGAUUGAUUAUGCUGUUGUAUUCUCUCUCUCUGCAUUUUCUCCUUUUCUCUUUUUAAUGAGGCUUUAUGCUGCUAAACCAAAAUGAUGAAAUAUUCAUUUUUAAUGAUAGUUUAUAAUUGGGUAUGUUUUAAUUUGAUUAGUGUGCUUUUUUUUUUGUGCUUAGGAUUUAGGACAUUGGUAACUUGCUUCAUUAGGAAUUUGUGUGUUUACCUCCUGAUCAGUAUUCAAAUUUAACUUUUUGUCAUAUAUUUUCAGCAGAUAUUGUAGUUAAUCAAUUCAUCUGUGACGUAUUUGAACUUAAGUCAAAUUUUUAAAUUCAAGUUUGAAAAUCUCCUUUUUGGUGAAGCUAUUUGUACAAGUAAUGAGACUAGGAAUGGCAACAGGCAGGGUACGCCGGGUAUUUGCAUCCUGCCUCAACCUCUAAACAAGGCACUGACAACUUUUCAUUGUUUAACUUUUUCCUCCCUUAAAUAGUUGCAUAUGUUUGAUUUGUUAAUCUGCUUCUUACACAUGUUGUUUCCUAAUGGUGUAGGUGGGUUGUCGGAUGUAUGUGCAGAUUACUCGAAUAGAUGAAGCUAAGAAUGACUUAGUAUUGAGUGAGAAAGAAGCUUGGGUCAGUUGGAUUUUAACAUUUAAUCUAUUCAUGUUUUUUGUUGCUUGCAAUGUUCUCUCAUUGUUUGUUAUGAGAUUCUAUGAUCUUAUUUUUCAUAAGAACUGACAUUGGUUUGCCAUAUAAUGUUUCAGGAACUGUUAUACCUUAAGGAGGGAACACUUUUAGAAGGAACUGUCAAGAAAAUCUUUCCAUAUGGAGCCCAAGUGAGGAUAGGAGAAACUAACAGGAGGUAUAAUGACUUUCAAACUUACUUUAAAAUCUGACUGGGCGCAUAGUUUCCCUGUUUUUUUUUUCCACUUUUGAAGAAGCACUGCAUGUGUGGAGUACUUUUGAAAGAUUAGAACACCACAAAAUGGAAAUAAAAUAGCAUGCAACUUUCUCUCAAAAGGUAUCUAAAUGCAUGAAAAAGAUGAGAAGAUACAUAAUAUAUAUCUUCAGAAUAGAAAUUAAAAUUUUGAACUUUAAAAUGAAAAGCAUGCAAUUUUGUACUCUUACCCAACAAUUGCUUCUCAAAAUUGCCUCAUUCCUGGGAUCUAUUUUGAUAAGAAACAAGACCUUACAACUAUUGCAUUCUUCGUUUUCUUGAAUUUCCUUGGUUUUUGAUGGAUGAUUGAGUGGUGUUUGAUUGAGAAAUUUGCCGAUUAGGAUUAGGUUGGGGUCUGUUUGGUUGCCUGGAAAAUUUGGGAAAGAAAAUGGGGUCGUGGGAUUGGGAUUUAGGACCUUCAUAACUUGAUUGAUUAGGAAUUUGUGUGUUUAUCUCCUAAGUAGUAUUCAAAUUUAGUGCAUAUAAGUCCCUUUCUUAAGAGGGAUCUAUUUUGAUAAGAAACAAGACCUUACAACUGUUGCAUUCUUCGUUUUCUUGAUUGUAAAGUCUCUGUACCAUGUCACAUAUAUUAAUAGGAUGCUUAGGUAAUUGUAGGAGAAGUUAUACAUGCAUUCUUUUGGCAAUCCUUUCCCUGAACCUGUAGUGAUCCUGAUUUGAGUCUAACUCUGCCUUGGUCAUAGCUCAACAUGGAAACGUUAUGGAAUAUCUUCUGUAUAAGCGUUUCUAGGCUCUAGCCUCCUCUUUUUGAGCAGACUUAUCAAAUAUAUCACAACGCAUGUUCUACUAGAGCUCAAAUCAAACAAAGAGAGGGAAAAUCAAAAUACACCAGAAAAAGAAAAAAACUUAAUUUAUUAAGGUGUAUGGAGGAAAGGUUUUAGUCAUUUAAAAUUAGGUUAAAUUAACGAUGUUAUAUAUUGAUUCUAAUUUGAUACUUGCUUGCCCUGCAGUCAACCCAGUGCUUAAGGAUUAUGUAUGUUUCCCACUUCCCAGGUCUAAUUCGAUCGCAUGCAUGUAACAAUUGUUAAAUUGGGGGACUGGACAAUUAACUAAUCAUAAUUUAUUUAUUGUGUGUAAUUACCUCCAUAAGUGUGGUUACAAGUUGAGCCUUUUCUUUGUUUAUUUUUUGUUGAAGCUUUCCAGGCCUUCGUUGUAUUCUUUUUCCAAUUUGUUGACAAAUAAGAUCAUGUUUAUUUUUCUUCUAAUUUUCGAAUAUAUAUAUAUUUCUCUCCACUUGCCAGUUUCAUUCUGGCAGUUUCCUCCUGUUUGAUAACUUUGUUUUUUUUUUUUUUCCUGUUUGUGGUUUUUAGUCUUUGUCAUUUAAUUGGUGUAGCUUUCCUAUGAUCUCUGUUCCGGCAGUGUGUGAUUAGUGCUAAUGGAAUUUCAACACGGUUUUUGAGCUAUAAUUAUCGUCGCUGUUCUGUGAGUUAGUGCUAAUGGAUUUGCUGUGUUUGAGAUUUUCAGAAACUUGGAUCGUUGGACGGAGCACUUGGCCCUUUGGCUUUUGAGGUAUAUUUAUUCACGGUGGUUUCAUGACUGUUGUUACAUUUUUUUUGUGCACGUCAGGACUGGAUUUGGCUAUGUAAUAGUGGCAUCCUUUGACUAUGUGUCACCACGAUAACAGUGGAAUGUGUAAUUGCUGUCUUAAGUUGGUGUAAUGUUAAUGGUUUGCAGAUGCUUAGGUGACCAUUUGUAAAAUUGCUAUCAAUAAAAUUGCCAUCGAUGAAAUUGGGGAAGAAAUUUUGGGAAAUAAUGUUAAUGGUUUGUAGAUGCUUAGUGUGCUGUUAAUUCUGUUGUUAGGUUGCUGCCAUUGUUUGUUAAUUAUUAUUAACAAGCUUUUGUUGCUUCCAUUGUUUGUUAAUUAUUAUUAAUAAGUUUUAAGGCACGAACCCAUUGGUUAUUGAUGGCUAUUGGCGCAAGGCCAUUAUUGUUUCACCGCUGGUGAGAUUGUGUUGUUUGUUGAAGAUUUUUUGGUGAGGUUCAUGCUGUGUGCAUUUUCUUUUGUAUUUUUUGUGUUUCUUGCAAUCAUAAAGUGGGUUGAGCUUGGUUUAUGAAUAAAAACAGCAAAUGUAUUGACUUUUGGAUGUGUUUCGCGUAAAAACAGCAAGUUGUGAUGUGUUUGUCGUUGUAAACUUGAUCGGGAACUUUGGCUUUCGAUGUGUUUCGCAUGAUAAAAUGGCAAAUAUAUUGAGCUUGAAAAUAAGGGUUUAGGGUUCACAGCCUAUUUAGUUAUAUGGAUUUUUUAUUUAUCUUUCUAAAGCUUUCAUACAUGGAUUUUAAAUAUGUGAUUGGUUUGUGAGAGAUAAAUGAAAACAAUAAUCAUGGGGGCAUUCUUAUUUUGGAUUUUCUCUUCUGCAUUUUUUCUUCUGUCCUUUGUAUGUUUACAGUUAGAUCAAUGGGUUCAAACCCUUGAACUAAAAUUUGUUUGACAACCUUGAAAGUGUUUGGUUUUUUGGUGCUCUUUAAUUUGCACUUUCUUUUAUUUAUCUGGAUUAUUGUUUUUCCGGCCCUUUUAAUCGUUGUGGUUCACAAAGUCCUUAUUGAUCUUGCAAUUGUUGUUUUUAAUUUAUCUUUGUUGGGUAGGCAUGACACGCCCCGACCCUGAUAUUCUUCGAAUACCAGGAUAGACACGUGCUGGCCGACACCCGAGGGUGACGAAAGCCAUUAAUUAAUACAAAAGCUAAGAAUAAGAAAUAAAUAAGGGUUAUGAAUUUAAAAUACCAUGAAUUAAUAAUUUAGGAACAUGUUCAGAACAUACAACUAAACCUAAUCACUAAAAAGAAUUGAGAUAAAAUUGAAUGAAUAAAGAAGUGGGUCCUACAUCGAGAGAAUUCAAAGACGCUGCUGCGGAAGUGUCUUGACGCCGGGAUUAGAUGCCUUGAUCCUAAGUCCUGAAUGGGGGCGCAAAACAAAGGUGAGUAGACCAAAUUUAUAUAUAUAAUAAUAAUAAAACAGUUAUCAAGAUACUAACCCCCACAGUUUAAUAGUGAAAACUAUUAGCAUAAUAAGUGAUGGAUUUAAUAAAAAUCCUAGCAUGCCAAAAAUAUCUCAAAAGCCAUAUCGCGGAAUAUCAUCGCGUACAACCAAAGCAUGAAUCGUCUCACAGAUCGUCUCGUAAACGCGGUGUGCUGCUAGUAAGAUCACCGAAUAAACAUAACUCCCGGCCCAAUGCCUGCACCUAAGUCUCUGUGCCCGUAGCCAGAGAUAACUCCCUCCCGGCCCAAUGCUUGUCACCGUGUCCCUCAGCCUUUCGCUAGGGAUUAUUUCUCCCGGCCUAACUGCCAACACCAGAUCCUCGCCCCAGGCGGCAUAGUGUCUACUAUGUACGCACAAAUAGUUACGCAUCUCAUAAAUAACCACUUCAUAGCAUAGAUACCGAUCAUUGUCUACACUAUAAAGAGGGGUUCAAAAACAUGUUCUAGCAUCCUAUCGUCAUCUGUCAGAUAGUCUACCAGUUCAUGGUUUUUAUAGAAAAUACGAUAUAUUAAAAUAUAGCUCAAAAUAGGCUAACAAUUUAUUUCCUCACCAAAACAUGAGACGAAAAUCAAUAUAUUAAAUCAACAAGCUUCACAUAAAUCAAAUCAUAAAUCCGUAGGCAUGCUAAUCAUUUAUGCAUUUACUAUAAAAUCAUGUAAUUUUAGAAGGGGUCCACUCACAGUACUUAGUUGCUAAAAGCUGCACCACUAGCGAAGACGGAAACGUCACAAUAAUUGUCCCUAAGCACAUAAAGAGUCCAAUAAAUAAAACUAUAUAAUAGCAAUUGAAUUUGAGAAAAUGGACAUUGGAAACAGAUUCAGAACGUCGAAUUACCCUAAGAAGGGUCUCGGACGAAAACCCGAAAAGUCAACCCUAAAGUCAACAUUGACCUGGGGUCAACGGUCAAAUUAGGUCUAACGGGUUUUAGGCUUGAAAUCCGGAUUAGGGUUUUAAAUGGAUUUUAGAAACCUAGGGUUUUUGGUUAAAAAGGGUUAGGAUGAAAAAUGGUGGUUUGGGCUUAAGCCCAAACACACAUACAUACACUACUAACACACACACAGCCCAUACACAUACACACAGGCCCUAAGGCCUUAUUAAAGGGCUGGGCUUAGAGCCCCUUAACCAAAAACCGGCCCAAGGCCAUUCUAAAUAAGGCCUGUGGCCUUUGGGAUCUUUAAAACAAAUAACUAAAAAUAAAAAUCAAACGGGCUGGGGAUUUGGGCUAAGGCAAAACGGGCUUAAGGCCCGUGGGAUUCUAAACGGCCUGAGAGGCCUGGUUUUGCCGAAGAAGAAGGCCGGAAAUUCGGCCGGAAAACUACCCAACUUUAAACGGCUAUACUUUGUCACUACUCAACGAAAUCAAGCGAGACAAAAACAAAAGUUGUAGCCCUUGAAGAGACGAAGAGAAUGGUACCUCACACGACGUCUAACUUGUCGUGGUUUGGCCGGAAAUGGCCUCGAAAGGGGCAUGCUCGCCGGAGCUCGUGUACGGGACUUCGUGGUUCGACUUCAAGAUGCCAAGACUAUGGUUGAGUUCGUAGCGACGAGAUAAAGACGAUGGUGAUGAUUGUUGGUAAGAAAAACUCUCGAAGGGGUUAAGAUAGAGAGAGCUGAGAGAGUGAGGGGGAGAGAGUUGCCGAAGAGGUGAGGGAGAAGAGAGAACUGAGAGAAGAGAGAGGGAGACCAGAAAACAUAAAAUAAAACAAGGUGGGCCCCACGGGCUCACCAAUUAAGGACUAAACAAAUUUUAAAAUAUAAAAAGGGGGUUGGGGUGUUUCAAGGCAGCAUGUACUGUGGGUUUCGGUGUUUAGGGAAUAUUCUGAGCUUCAUUACCAUUUUAAUGGUUAGGGAAAAUUUUGAGAUUCAUUAAUAGGAUUUUUGUGGCUAACAUUCUUUAGCUAAAUUCAUGACUAUUAGGUGUUUAGAGUCCAGUGGAUUGGUAUCCAUAUCUUAUAAAUAUGUUGGCCUAAGACAUAUGUUAGCUUUCAUUUUGUUUUUUCAUUUUCAUUUCUUAUAUCUUGCUUUUGCUUUUGAUGCAUAGUUUGAAAGCUUCUGGUUCAUAAUAUGGUUCCCCUGUGUGUGAGUGUGUGCAGUGUUUGUACAAUUUGAAUUCUCAAGCGUGAUGAUAUUGCCUAAACAUGUAGAUUUUACACUGCUUUUGUGCCAUGCAGGUGUGUGUGAGUGUGUGCAGUGUUUGUGCAAUUUGAGUGUGUGCCAUCUUUAACUGCAGAAGCAAAAUAUGUGUCAACUGCAUGUUGCUUUUAUUCUGUUUCUUAUGGAAACAAGCCUUCUGCAUAUUUUUUGCUUUGAACGUUUGUGCUUGGAAAGUUAGCUACUUGAAUGUUCAGUUUUGUCUAGCUAAUUGUACAAUGUCUUUACAUGUCAGCUUAGUUGAAUGUAUAUAAAAGCCAAGCUGCUUAUCCUUUUGACCUCAUUCACUCAUGUGUCUCUCUGUUCAUUCAUGAUUGUGUUUAAUUUAUUCAGGUUAAAUAUGUCUUAUUUAUACAGUUACGGGUGAUGCAUUCAAUUUCCGCAGCAACGAACGGGCAUAUUUUCUAGUUCUUCCUAAGGCUGUGCCACAAUGCAAUCCAACGAUCGAAAUUGUCUAUAUUUGAAGUCUUCAAGGUUAUCCUAGCAUAAAAAUCAUCCAAAUCCAAAACUGUUUGGUCACUUAAAAAUGUGCAAAUGUGGUUUGGUAUAAAGCUAAAAAUUAAGCAUAUAAGCAAUCACUAAUUUUGUUGACUUUUAGGAUGGAUAACCGUUGAAAGAGAAUCUAAAAAUUAAAUGGUUUCAAUCAUCGUCUAAGACCCUGGAAUACGAUGAAUCAAUAGGGAUUCAUUUCUUUAUUUUAAUUCUACAACAUAUGUAGUAGUAUAUAAUCUCAUGUUACAUCAACAUUAUGCACACUAUGCAAGGCUUUUUGUAAUUCUUGGAAGUCAGGGAGGCUGUGUCCUUGGAAUAAUGGAGGCUGCUGGUAGAUGACAGCGGCCACCCGAAUUAAAAUGCUUGCAGUUAGUCCCCAAAUUAGAAACGGCCCUUGCUCUGAUUCAAAAUCGAAAAGAUGGAGAAUGUACUUGCAACCCAUCCAUUCUCUGUCCUCAAAUCUGUGAUUAUCAUUCUGCAUUACACAAGAAGAAAUCACUGUUAAUUAAGUUUUGACAAAAGAACAUAAAUUGACAUAUGCAUGCUCUGCCUGUGACCUUUCUAGUGCAAUACACUGUUUUUGUAUGGUAGAAAUAACCUUGAGAAACAUCUCCAAUGGAACAUCAAAAAUGGCAUCAACUUCGUCGGCGUUGAGUACAGGCUUGAAAUCUUCAAUUCUAGCUACCAGUCCUAUCACUGGGACAACGGUGACCAAAUGCUGCGCAAGGCAAAAAAAAAUUACCUUCGAUUCAAAUUUCGUAGUACCGAUAUAUCAAAAGAAAAGAAAUGAGCAUAUACAUGUACGUGGUACCUGGGACAUAAAGCACUCUAGCUUUGCAACAACUUGAACUAGGCUUGGAUCGAGUCCAAUCUCUUCCAUGGCUUCCCUUAGUGCUGUUGCAGAUUCAUCUGCAUCUUCCUUCUCCAUUUUUCCGCCGGGCAAUGCUACAUCUCCUGUGUAAUCUCUAGAACACAUUUAGAAAGCCCUAGCGUCCAUGGCCAAGUCUAACAUUAAUUUGAGACUAUUAACAAAUAAGAAAUUAUUUCCACACAAAUUUAGCAUAUUAUACCUGGGUGUGAUGCCAAAUUCAUGGAUCUCCUAGUAAGAAUAACUCUUAGCUCACCCUCAGCUCCCUCAAAGAUGCAUAUCAGGACAGCUGCUCUUCUCUCUCUCAAUCUCAACUUGACACAAGAACACUCUUCAUUGCCGACUGCUAAGGAGUUGAAGCUUAUACCAGAGUUCACAGAUGUAUCGCUUUCGUUAUCAUCCUCUGAUUUAUCUGGUGCGGAGGGAGGUUUGUAAAACUCAAGCUGCUUGGCAAGCCUGUGUAGAGUUUGGCUUCUUCCCCAAUCCUCUAUGCUAGCCAUUUGUAAUUUUUGGCCAACUAUAUGCAUGUUCUUUGCAAUAUAUAGACAACAGUUUUAAAGUAAAUUACUCCUUGUAUUUUUCCAUGCCAUCCAUUAUCAAAGAAGCUGCAAAUCUCUAUCGGAGCAUAGGGAUUGGAAUUGGGGAGAACAUCUGAACAACCAUCACCAAAAAAAUUGGAAUUUUACGCCAACAAAUUGACUUGGGAAUAUGGUUAAAGUUGGAAUGGUUGGCACUGUUUAGAGGACCACGCUUGCAAUUUGCUACUUGGAUUCCACAACUUAUAUCAGCCAGGGCACUAAAUUAACUUUGCAGAAUUCAUUCCAAAAUCAAUUGAUAUUCCAUCAAGAUCUUGCCCUUGGAAUAACAAUGAUGUUGGAAUAUAAAUAUACGUCAAGGGAUAAGAAUUUUUUGGUUCGGUGCCAUGGUGAAUCUCAUUUAUUAACUACUAGUCAUGUUAUAUGUACGUCAGUUAAUAUUAAAAAGUUACACGAAAAGAUUGUUUGACACAAGUACCGAUUGACAAUACAUGGUACAGUUGGUACUUAGUUGAUAUUAGAAAUUUGCACCGGCGAUGGUACGGGAUUGAAAAUCAUAUGAGAUAUUUUGCUAAACCUUAUCAUGAAUGGAACAAAUUUAGAUACUAACAAAAAAUAUAAAAAUCCAUUUUUUCAAAGUGCAAGGAAAGAGAAAUUGUUUAUUCAAAAAGUUGGACCAAUGAUAAAAUUACAAAUGCAGUAUUGAGUAUAUCAGUCAAACAAAGCUUGCUACAUGCUAAACAAUGUUGAAAUACAUCAUUAGCUUUUUCAAGUGUUAUAUGCCAUUAAUGUAAUUGGAUAACAGACUUGUUCCUAGCUUGAGGUGCUUCCAAUGGAAAAUUGACCUUUCAAGUGUUAUAUGCCAUGAAUGUAAUUGGAUAACAGACUUGUUCCUAACUUGAGGUGCUUCCAAUGGAAAAAUUGACCUUUUGUUGUACUCUCUUGGACAGUUGUGAAUACAACUACAAAAAUAAUAAAGAGAGCCAAUGAUUAAAAAAAAAAUAUGCAUAAAAAGUUCAAAAUUGAGUUUAGAGAGAGAGAGAGAGAGAGAGAGGUGAGGUCACCUUAUAACCGGAGAUCAAAUGUAUUUUUUUCUAUUAUUGAGGUGGUAAUUCGACUUGUGAAAUUCUGAAAUCAAACAUUUAAAUAAAGUUUAAUCAAAAUUUAGUACGAAAUGUUAAUUAGAAAUGUGUUACAAUGGAAGCAAAAAAGAUGAAACUUGUCUAAUGUGAUGUGUACAAUUUUACCAUCUAUUUGUGAAAAAUAUACCGAUGUGACAUGUCAUAUGUUAGUCUUGCCUUCUUGAAAGUAAUAUUAGUCGUUGAUUGCCAGGUAGCAUAAAUUUGUACAAUAUUUUAUAAAUUAUGAGAAAAAUUAUUAUGUCAAACUUGUGUGCUAAAAAAUAAUUUAUUCUAUAUUGACGCAAGUUAUGAUUUUAAUUUGUAUAUACCUUGGUGGAGUAAUUCUGUGUAUGAGUUUCUUAUAUUCAUCAUCCAUGUUAUGUGAAAAGCUGAUUCCAAGUUCUGCAGAAGGUCACAAAAAAAUGAAAUAUAAAAUUGGAGCAAAGAUUCAAUUAUACAAAUUUACACUUCUAAACACAUAUAUAUAUAUUUAAAUAAAGAAAAUUUUGAAUAAAGAGGCACUAACAUUCCUCGAUGACAUACUGCUAACAUAUGAAAAAUAUAUAAUUUUAAACAAAAAAAAGGUACAAAAAAUACCUCAACAAAUCGUUUGAGGUGGAUGAUCACAACAUUUUCUCUUCCCUUUAUCCUCAUACUCUUUACCCACGUUCAUGCAUGUACAAUGCUCAAACACAACCCAAAUUAGUUCAAAGGAAAUAUGCACAACCCAAGAGAAAUUAAUUAAUUCAAAUAAUUAUUCACUUCCUCACAACCCAAGUUAAUUCAAAUGAAAUCUGCACAACCAAAAGUAAGAGAUCAAAUGAAAUAUGCACAACCCAAAUGAAGAGAUCAAACUCUAAUUCUCUCAAAAAAGCCAUUAUUCCUAAUGCCACCUCUCUUUUUGGAGAGAGAGUUUUCUGCACCCAAAAACCCCUUUGGCCUCUCUGUGCCUUUGAUUUUAUUGAGCAUGUCUUGGAACUCGGGACUUGAAGUUUGAUUUGAUUGGGUGUGAUUGUUGACAUGCUUAAUAAAAUCAAAGGCACAGAGAAGCCACAAGGAUUUUUGGGUGCAGAAGAUUUGGACUCCAUUUCCUUCCACGAUAACCAACACGCGUACAAUGGGGGUAAAUACGUGAUUUCAAUGUAUAACAGAGGAAAAAGGCUGAGAAUUAGGUAGCAAAUGAGGGACAAUUUCGUCAAAUCACUGUUAAUGAACAGUUUUAGUAUAUAUAAUUUAAUCGAUGGCUGAGAAUUAGGUAGCAAAUGAGGGACAAUUUCGUCAAAUCACUGUUAAUGAACAGUUUUAGUAUAUAUAAUUUAAUCGAUGGCGUAAAUUUGGGAACUUUAACGAAAAGCACCCGGUACUGUUCACUUUAACGAAAAACCACAUUUUUACACUAAAAAGUCAAUCAUGACACUAUUCACUUUACCCUUUAUUUUGUCCUUAUCAUUCAAACUCAAAGUUUUCAAGCCCUUUUCAUUAGUUUUCCUCGUAAAUUUACUAGUACAGUAGAUACUAUAAGUUAGUACAAGUGUAGCGGUAUUCCAUUGCUUAGUACAAGUGUAGUGGUAUUCCAUUGCGGCAGAUCAAUCUUCAUACACAUACUAAGAAACAAUGCUGCCACUUCUGCUCACUGAAUCCUCGUUUAGUCUGUGUCGCAACUUUGCUGAUUCCCUCAAACUCGCUCUUUGAUAGGACCCAUUCCGUAGGAAUGGAGAAGAAAAGGAAAAUGCAAGGAAAGUAAGAAAUAAAAUGACAGUUCUUUUCAUUCAUCCCUUUCCCAAAUGGUGAAAUGAGGCUUAUAUACAACCCUAGCAGAGGAGUGCCCAGAUGGGAACACAUCUCUAUCCUCAGAACCGUUGGAUGAAGCCAACUACUACAAAAAUAAGACAAAAUACCAUAAAGAUAUAAACCCAAUAACUAAGAUCCUAACAUUCCCUCCCCCUUAAAAUAAGGCAUGUCCUCAUGCCGUCAAGUUGGCAUGUAGAGGCUUGCGCGGCUUGUUCUCCCAAGCCUUGGGGUUCCAAAAAACGUAUCAUGAUAGAUGCCUCCAAAACCAGUGCAGUGUGAAUCUCCAAACAGACCACAAGAAAAUUGGCUUCCAAACAGAUUUUCAACCAAGCCUGCCAAGUUGUGCUUCUACCAUGCAUGGUCUCUGUAGAAGUGCAGGAGCUAUGAAGCACACAUCUCCUAAAAUGAUAUUCAACCUCUCCUUUGGUUUGACGAAAGCUGAAAGCCCAAAACACCAUGGCUGGCAAAGGAUAGAAAAUAUAAUAGUGGGGUACCAAUUCAAUCCUAGCAAACUUGACCUCAGUUGCUGGAUAUGUAGCCGCAUAUACCCUUGGUGAAAAUGCUAAAUUCCCAAAUCUGCUAGCAUUCCACAAGCACACUAGCUUCCAAAAAUCCAGAAAAGUGAUAUAACCAAAGAACUUUGGCAUUAAUGAUCCUGAUGCAUAUAAUGGUACUGAACAAUGACCCAAAAUGAUCUUCAAUUUAUACCGUGAUACAUUCUACAAGUAGGUAUCAUCAAAUUUGGUGUUGAUCGAAUAAUAAUCUGGCAUCCUCGGAGCAAGUAGCGAUGCAUCAGACAAAUUGGCAUCAUCCACACAAUAUUGUAUCAACUCGACCAAACGUAAUAGCUCUUUGACCAUGAAGGAAUGAUCUGCAAACAAAAUGGCCCAAGUCUUGAUAACAUGAACAUUUCCAAAAUGGCUCAAAACACCAUACAUCACACUACAGGUUUGUUCAAGACUCCUGGCAGUCCAAAGUCCCAAAAUGGCGUGGGUAUAUAUAGUGUGGUACAGCUGGACCCCAACACUUCUCACCAGCUUGAUAAUUAGCUCAAAACACCAUGGUCCUGUGUAAGACAUAGCAGCCUUAAACAUCCCAAGCAGAUAUAGUUUAUAACUUGCUGAUAGGCUCCAUAAAAGUAUGUGCCAUCGAUGAACAUAAGGGAAAUAAGAGCUUAAAAAAGAUAUUGCCAGAUUGAAUUGGAGAAGAGCAGUAAUCCCAUUAUCAUGAAAAUUGAAGUAAGCAAGGCCUAAACUAGCUUUUCUUGCACCAAAGUGCUCCAGGAGAAUAUUGUGCUUGCUUUUUUGUGACUGGUCAAGGUCAUUGAUAGCAAAUGAAUGCAUAACUGUUGACUUGACACUCAAGAACUGAGGCAAAGUUAGAGAAAACUGUAAUAUCAUAGUUUCUAGUGUAGCAUUCCAGAUUGCUAUGAAAAUUUCCAAUGCAUUAUCCAUGAGCAUAGGAUGCUCAGUCGCAUGCGGAGACUGCAACGUGGGAAGAAUGAGCAUCCAAUAGAAGUUCUCAAUCUCAAGAUUAGGAGAAAAAGAAGAGCAACCAAUCUGCUUAGUACCCACUGCUAGAGAAAGAACCAUAGAAAUCAAC
rnacentral:lncRNA from 1 species